rnacentral:rRNA from 1 species
GAUGAACGCUGGCGGCGUGCCUAAUACAUGCAAGUCGAGCGAACGGACGAGAAGCUUGCUUCUCUGAUGUUAGCGGCGGACGGGUGAGUAACACGUGGAUAACCUACCUAUAAGACUGGGAUAACUUCGGGAAACCGGAGCUAAUACCGGAUAAUAUUUUGAACCGCAUGGUUCAAAAGUGAAAGACGGUCUUGCUGUCACUUAUAGAUGGAUCCGCGCUGCAUUAGCUAGUUGGUAAGGUAACGGCUUACCAAGGCAACGAUGCAUAGCCGACCUGAGAGGGUGAUCGGCCACACUGGAACUGAGACACGGUCCAGACUCCUACGGGAGGCAGCAGUAGGGAAUCUUCCGCAAUGGGCGAAAGCCUGACGGAGCAACGCCGCGUGAGUGAUGAAGGUCUUCGGAUCGUAAAACUCUGUUAUUAGGGAAGAACGUAUGUGUAAGUAACUGUGCACAUCUUGACGGUACCUAAUCAGAAAGCCACGGCUAACUACGUGCCAGCAGCCGCGGUAAUACGUAGGUGGCAAGCGUUAUCCGGAAUUAUUGGGCGUAAAGCGCGCGUAGGCGGUUUUUUAAGUCUGAUGUGAAAGCCCACGGCUCAACCGUGGAGGGUCAUUGGAAACUGGAAAACUUGAGUGCAGAAGAGGAAAGUGGAAUUCCAUGUGUAGCGGUGAAAUGCGCAGAGAUAUGGAGGAACACCAGUGGCGAAGGCGACUUUCUGGUCUGUAACUGACGCUGAUGUGCGAAAGCGUGGGGAUCAAACAGGAUUAGAUACCCUGGUAGUCCACGCCGUAAACGAUGAGUGCUAAGUGUUAGGGGGUUUCCGCCCCUUAGUGCUGCAGCUAACGCAUUAAGCACUCCGCCUGGGGAGUACGACCGCAAGGUUGAAACUCAAAGGAAUUGACGGGGACCCGCACAAGCGGUGGAGCAUGUGGUUUAAUUCGAAGCAACGCGAAGAACCUUACCAAAUCUUGACAUCCUUUGACAACUCUAGAGAUAGAGCUUUCCCCUUCGGGGGACAAAGUGACAGGUGGUGCAUGGUUGUCGUCAGCUCGUGUCGUGAGAUGUUGGGUUAAGUCCCGCAACGAGCGCAACCCUUAAGCUUAGUUGCCAUCAUUAAGUUGGGCACUCUAAGUUGACUGCCGGUGACAAACCGGAGGAAGGUGGGGAUGACGUCAAAUCAUCAUGCCCCUUAUGAUUUGGGCUACACACGUGCUACAAUGGACAAUACAAAGGGCAGCGAAACCGUGAGGUCAAGCAAAUCCCAUAAAGUUGUUCUCAGUUCGGAUUGUAGUCUGCAACUCGACUACAUGAAGCUGGAAUCGCUAGUAAUCGUAGAUCAGCAUGCUACGGUGAAUACGUUCCCGGGUCU